UACGUAGGGUGCAAGCGUUGUCCGGAAUUAUUGGGCGUAAAGAGCUCGUAGGCGGUUUGUCGCGUCUGCUGUGAAAUCCCAGGGCUUAACCCUGGGCCUGCAGUGGGUACGGGCAAACUAGAGUGCGGUAGGGGAGAUCGGAAUUCCUGGUGUAGCGGUGAAAUGCGCAGAUAUCAGGAGGAACACCGGUGGCGAAGGCGGAUCUCUGGGCCUUACCUGACGCUGAGGAGCGAAAGCAUGGGGAGCAAACAGG
rnacentral:rRNA from 1 species